AGGCUGAAAAGAGCUUUCCCUUUUUGAAAGACCAGCAGUCCCCACUGUGAACAUAGAACAAACAU